rnacentral:lncRNA from 1 species
CUCCCGGGUUCAAACGAUUCUUCUGCCUCAGCCUCUUGAGUUGCUGGGAUUACAGGCACCAGUCACCACGCCCAGCUAAUUUUUGUAUUUUUAGUAGAGGCGGGGUUUCACCAUGUUGGCCAGGCUGGUCUUGAACUCCUGACCUCGAGAUCCGCCUGGCUCAGCGUCCCAAAAUUCUGGGAUUACAGGUGUGAGCCACCGUGUCUGGCUGCAAUUUUUAAUAUUUGACUGUUCCCAGCCUUUGUGAGUUUCCUCCUUUGCCUGUGAAGAGAAUAUCGUCUUUGAUGCAUGCAACUUCACAGUCCACAAGGUGACUCAGCCUUCAUCAAAUGAUUUCCUGCAAUUUUUAAAAAAUGCUGAAUUGAAGAAUUUUCCUAUGAUGAGGGAGAGAUGAGAAGUAAAGGCAAGGACUUGAUGAGAAAGGCCCAAAAGAGCUGCAUAAGAAGGAGAGGGAGGAAAAAGCCACCUGGGUACGGAAAGUGCCUGGAGAAGGAGGAGAGAGACUCCUCUGAGUGUGGGGAAGACAAGUCUGUUGGCAACGAGAGGCUCUGCAGAAUACAGGAGCACUAGCCAGGAGAGGAAGAAGAGGACACACCCCUCCCUACCCUUUCCAGCCUCUGGUAACCAUCCUUCUACUCUCUAUCCCGGUUUCUCCCAAAUCUUGGCAAUUGUGAACAGUGCUGCAACAAACACAGGAGUGCAAAUAUCUCUUCAAGGUUUGAUGAUGUCCUGGCCAAGUGUGGUGCCUCAUGUUUGUAAUCCUAGCACUUUGGGAGGCCAAGGCAGGAGGAUUGCUUGAGGCUAGGAGUUGGAGACCAGCCUGGGCAACAUGGUGAAAUCCUGUCUCUACAAAAAAUACAAAAAUUAACUGGAUGUGGUGGUGAACACUUGUAGUCCCAGCUACAGUAGCCCUGCUGAGGAAGAAGGAUGAUAUGAUCUGGGAGGUCGAGGCUGCAGUCAGCCGUGAUUGUACCACUGCACUCUAGCCUGGGUGACAGAGUGAGACCCUGUCUGAAAAAAAUAAAAAUAAGUAAUUUUGAUAAAGUCCAGUUUAUUACUUUUUUUUUUC